rnacentral:ncRNA from 1 species
GAGAUAGAGGCGCGGGAUUCAUCAGUACCCGUCGGCAAGGCCAGGCUGCCGCCGUCGGAGAAAGGGGAGACCGCCGAAGUUCCGGACAAGCGGCCUGGCUUGCCCGGUGCUGGGUCGGCAGAGAACAUCUGCCGGACUGUCACAAGUUUUUGUGGAGUGCUAUCA